rnacentral:rRNA from 1 species
CUACGGGGGGCUGCAGUGAGGAAUUUUGCGCAAUGGGGGAAACCCUGACGCAGCAACGCCGCGUGAGCGAAGAAGGCCCUCGGGUCGUAAAGCUCUGUCAAGUGGGAAAAAAAUUUUUUGAUCAAUAGUCAAAAGACUUGAUGGUACCACUGGAGGAAGCACCGGCUAACUCCGUGCCAGCAGCCGCGGUAAUACGGAGGGUGCGAGCGUUGUUCGGAUUUACUGGGCGUAAAGAGCGUGUAGGCGGUUUAGCAAGUCGGAUGUGAAAGCCCUGGGCUCAACCCGGGAAGUGCAUUUGAAACUGCUUAACUAGAGUAUGGGAGAGGAGAUUGGAAUUCCUGGUGUAGAGGUGAAAUUCGUAGAUAUCAGGAGGAACACCCGUGGCGAAGGCGAUUCUCUGGACCAAUACUGACGCUGAGACGCGAAAGCGUGGGGAGCAAACAGGAUUAGAUACCCCUGUAGUC